rnacentral:tRNA from 1 species
UGGACGGAUGCCCGUUGGUUUAGGCGCUUAGCUGUUAACUAAGAUUUUGUAGGAUCGAGGCCUACCUGUCCAG